UACGUAGGGUGCAAGCGUUGUCCGGAAUUAUUGGGCGUAAAGAGCUCGUAGGCGGUUUGUCGCGUCUGCUGUGAAAACUCGGGGCUUAACUCCGGGCCUGCAGUGGGUACGGGCAGACUAGAGUGCGGUAGGGGAGACUGGAAUUCCUGGUGUAGCGGUGAAAUGCGCAGAUAUCAGGAGGAACACCCGUGGCGAAGGCGGCCUGCUGGGCCGAUCCUGACGCUGAGGCGCGAAGGCGUGGGGAGCGAACGGG
rnacentral:rRNA from 1 species